rnacentral:tRNA from 1 species
GGCUUGGUGGUCUAGUGGUAUGAUUCUCGCUUUGGGCAGUCAAUAAAUGACUCUAGCUUGCGAGAGGUCCCGGGUUCAAUCCCCGGCCAAGCCC